UGCCAGCAGCCGCGGUAAUACGGGGGGAGCAAGCGUUGUCCGGAAUUACUGGGCGUAAAGGGCGUGUAGGCGGGUUGGUAAGUCAGAUGUGAAAGCCCACGGCUCAACCUGGGAAUUGCAUACGAUACUGAUCGACUAGAGUACGAGAGAGGGAGGUAGAAUUCCACGUGUAGCGGUGAAAUGCGUAGAUAUGUGGAGGAAUACCGGUGGCGAAGGCGGCCUCCUGGCUCGAUACUGACGCUGAGGUGCGAAAGCGUGGGUAGCAAACAGGAUUAGAUA
rnacentral:rRNA from 1 species